CAAGCGGUGGAGCAUGUGGUUUAAUUCGAUGCAACGCGAAGAACCUUACCUGGUCUUGACAUCCACGGAAGUUUUCAGAGAUGAAAAUGUGCCUUCGGGAACCGUGAGACAGGUGCUGCGUGGCUGUCGUCAUCUCGUGUUGUGAAAUGUUGGGUUAAGUCCCGCAACGAGCGCAACCCUUAUCCUUUGUUGCCAGCGGUCCGGCCGGGAACUCAAAGGAGACUGCCAGUGAUAAACUGGAGGAAGGUGGGGAUGACGUCAAGUCAUCAUGGCCCUUACGACCAGGGCUACACACGUGCUACAAUGGCGCAUACAAAGAGAAGCGACCUCGCGAGAGCAAGCGGACCUCAUAAAGUGCGUCGUAGUCCGGAUUGGAGUCUGCAACUCGACUCCAUGAAGUCGGAAUCGCUAGUAAUCGUGGAUCAGAAUGCCACGGUGAAUACGUUCCCGGGCCUUGUACACACC
rnacentral:rRNA from 1 species